UCUUACAUUAUUCUGUACCACUGCUAACGACGAACGCGUAACGAUAUUUGUCGUUAGUUCGCGAUAAACAUCGUUAGAUAGCGACAAACUUUAACGUGACCCCCGGGAUGUGACGGUAUCGCCGUACCGACACAUUUUUGAUGAUAUUUUCUAGUGAAAUAGGAAAUACGAUUCAUUAAUGCAUUGGAGCAGUAACAUAGCAAUAAAAUUUGGAAAGGUGAGCAAAGGCUAACUCGGAUUAUUAGAGCAAGUGUAGUACAAAUGGCAGAAGGAUUUCUUGCAUGGGACUUAUUAAAUCUGGAGCAUCGAGUAAGACGUUUAGAACGCCAUGUGGAGAGGAGAGAAUAGCGAGAUGCCCAUGAUCUAUUCGACCUCCACGAUGAUGAAUUUAUUAAAUUAUAUAGAUUAACUCCAGAUAUCGUCAUAGAAUUGGCUAAUACUUUAGAACCAUGAUAGAACAUCAGCGUCCAUAUAGUCUCAGCCCAGAACACCAGAUAUUAACUGCUCUCAGGUUUUAUGCUUGGCUAUUACUAAGGUGCAAUCGGAGAGCAAUAGGAUAUUGCAGUGAGUCAAGCAUCUGUUAGUCGCUGUAUACGAAAAGUAACCAAUGCGAUAAAUGAUUUAUUAUUACGACGAUGGGUUAAAUUUCCCAUGACGGAUAUGGAACGCCAUGUCGCUCGAGAAAAAUUCAGAACUGCAGCUCAGCCAUUUCCAGGUGCUAUCGGAGCGAUUGAUUGCACUUAUAUUAAUAUUAAAGGACCAAAAGAACAUGAGGAGGCUUAUGUUAAUCAUUGAAGUGAUCAUACGAUCAAUGCCCAAUUAAUCUGUAAUCCCGAGUUAAAAAUAUUAAAUGUAAACGCACGAUAUCCCGGCGCACGACAUGACGCAUACAUAUGGUCGAACUCUCCCAUACAUCGUAUCAUGGAACGACGAUUUAACAAUGGAGAACGCAAUACUUGGUUAAUUGUGAUGAUGGUUAUAAUCUUGAACCUUGGCUGAUGACUCCCUUGAAGCACGAAAUACCUGGUUCUCCUCGAUUUCGAUAUAAUGACGAUCUUUGUAGUACAAGGUCAUGCGUAGAACGCUUGUUUGGUGUGUGGAAAGCGGUAUUUAAAUGUUUAUCAGUACAGAGGCGAUUAAUGUACGAGCCAGGCAUGGCUGAUAAGAUAGUAAACGCAUGUGCUGUGCUUCAUAAUAUGAGAAUUGCACAUCGUAUGUAAGAAGUAGAAGUAGACGAAAUGGAGAUCGAAGCUUUCCGUCGCAUGGGACUUAACGCAGAUGUUGAAGAUAACGAAAGAGAACGUAUCUUUCGAGGACGAGCACAUGCAAUUCGCAUACAAGAAAACCUAAUAGCUCGCCAAUAUGGUAGAGUUUAA